rnacentral:rRNA from 1 species
UACGAAGGGUGCAAGCGUUAAUCGGAAUUACUGGGCGUAAAGCGCGCGUAGGUGGUUCGUUAAGUUGGAUGUGAAAGCCCCGGGCUCAACCUGGGAACUGCAUCCAAAACUGGCGAGCUAGAGUAUGGCAGAGGGUGGUGGAAUUUCCUGUGUAGCGGUGAAAUGCGUAGAUAUAGGAAGGAACACCAGUGGCGAAGGCGACAACCUGGGCUAAUACUGACACUGAGAUGGGAAAGCGUGGGGGGCAGACAGGGUUGGAUACCCAUGUAGACC